rnacentral:lncRNA from 1 species
AUUUUAAUAUUUAUAACCUAACAAACUUAGACUAUCUAUACACUUAUAGGCAGUGUACCUAGUCAGAUUACAGUAUAGCUUAGGUAAGUCAGGUUUCGAUCACAGGGAACGGUGGAUUAAUUUAAUAUAUUUGAUUAUAGGUUACAGGUCACACGAAAAGAAUAAAGAAAUAAAUCUCAAACUAACAAUUAAUUAACUACUCUCGAUAAACUAACAGGAAAGCAAAUCUCUUCAGGUACUUUGGUUAAGACAAAUUACACCUUAAAAACAUAGACAAUUGCAUACACAAAUUCAUUUAUUCAUGUUCACCGAUUCCUAAAAUGAUUAGAUUCGCAUUCACUAUAACUAAUCCUUUAGCAAACAAGUCAAUUUAAACAGUGAUCAGUUGAUUAAACUAACAUGCUUCCUAGUGUUCAGUUCGUAUCAAACAAGACUUGUAAAUAUAGUUAAUCAAAUUAGUCAUUCAAUUAACCUCUUGCUGAUGGUCAUCAAACAAGGCUCACACAUUAACUUACUUAUUCCCAAGUUAAUCCUAGUUUCACAUUCGUUAUUCCUAGACUUAUAAUCUCGAUGGUCAUCAAAAAUCAUAAGAGACAAGCAAUCAAGCAGAUGUUCAUACAACUCAAUUCACUUAACAAUUAACAGCAAAUAAUUAUCAUUAAUAUGUAAGGAUCUUUUAACAAGCUUGGCAAGAUAAAUUAAACAUAACAAAUGAUUCAAUAUAGCAAUUAGUCUAAUAAUCAAAGCUUCAUUCAAUCAUAAACACAAAGUAAAAGGUUUUUACACCCAAAUCAGAAACUAAAUACAGAAUAGUAACACAAUGGAAUGCUAAACAUGGUCACGUUAACAACCCAUAUGAUUACCGACAUGUAUCCUCUCUCCAACCCUUCCGAUCUCCGCUCCCGUUAGCUUAACGGCCUUCCGGCCACCUUCUAGACCCUCAAAACGGCUUAACAGAAGUUUAAUAUCGACUAAAUUAAGUUGAAAGUCGAAUCCCCCCUUCUGGUUAGCUGAAAAUCAACUUUUAUAACCUUUGUAGCCGACUUACGUACGCUGGGCAUACUAAGGAUUUAUACGCGAUUAAGUUUAUCCGAUGCCAGCCAUUACGCGGGGCGUAAACUAAAAUUACGCUGGGCGUAAUUUUGAAUUUGGUCGUUACGCUUGGCGUAGAAGUUUAUUACGCGGGGCGUAAUUGGCUCCUCCAGCAUUUUUCCUUUCUUUUAGCUUCUAAGCCCGAUUUCCGCUUCAGUCUUUUCUUUUGUGCUUUAUCGACAACGAAUAGCUGCAAAACAUAAUUCAAAGCAUUAUGAGUGCUUUUUAGUUCUAAAAGAGAAUAAUAAAGGCCAAAAUAUUAAGAUAUAAUGCAUAAAAAUAUAUAUAAAAAUACACAUAUCAAAAUACCCCACACUUAGCCUUUGCUUGCCCCCAAGCAAAUUUACUUUUAUUUUACCAGUAUCGCACUAAACAAUCUGUUUAAAACUCAGCCAUUAUGCCAAGACCGCAACGCAUGCAUUUGUGUCUAAAAUUUUCCUAAUGUACCCCCCCAUACUUUAAAUACUCACAAUCUUCAUAAACACUUGCCCACUUUUUCCGAACAAUGCUCAUUUUAUGCAACCAUUCGAAUCCAUCCGCAGAAAACCUCCUAACCUCAAGGUAUUUUUAAUUGAGCAACCUAAGCAUACAUAAUCUAGAAUUACAAUUUAUGAUACCACUAUGGAGCUCUUUUGAAUUCUUCACUUCUUUGACAUUUGAUCUUUGAUUUCUUUGAAUUCACCACCUUUGUUGUUUUGAUUUUUGGUAUCUUCAACUUUUUGAAUUUCUUGGAAUUUUCGAUCUUUUGAUCUUCACUUUAUUUGCUCCAAAAUUCUUCAACUUUGCUCGUAAUUCUCUCUCUUUUUUUUAUAUUACAUGUACCUCACUUUUUUCACUCAAAACCUACAUGCUUAAGCAGAGGCGCUCAACCUCAACCUUUAUUGGUUAAUGAUAAUAAUUUUCCUGGAUACAUUUUAGGUUUAGGCUGCUAAACAUAUUGCAUCCCUCAAACCAAGCGGGGUUAUGUUUUUGUUCCAUGAUUUCACUAAAAUAAGGGAGGCCACAAAUGCACUAUAACGUGUAUUGGCUCAACUAAACAUUUGAGUUCUCAUCGGAUCAUUUCAUACAAUAUUAGCAAAAUUUAAAUUAUCAAUAGAUUUUUCUAAAUUAAACUAUUAUUUCAAGUUUUCUAAAUUAAACUAUUUCUUUAAAAUUUCCUAAAUCUUGCAAUUUCCAAACUAUUAUUUCAUUUUUUCUUUUAAUUUUAAUUUACUUUUACCGACCCCCUACCCCACACUUAUUUCAUACAAUGCCCUCAUUGUAUGCUAAGACGAAUUAAGAACAUAAAAAGGGAGAAAAAGGAACAGACUCCCCUGGGUAAUUGUGGCGAGAUCGAAUGGGGCUGCUACAAGUUGCUUCAAAUAUUUUUGAAAGACUGGAACUGGAACUGCUGCUUCACAUUGUCUCGUCAAGAAUGACAUCUCUUCUCGCGAUGAAAAAUCCCCCACAACAUAGGAAAGUUUCAACCAUGUCAUGGCAGCCGGGAUGAUACGUCUUCCUCGCGUCGAAAUAAAACUCUAUGGUGUGGUAACAGCUCAUCCAUAUCAUAAGAGUCAAAAUGUCGUAAAAAUGCCAAUCUUCAAAACAAUCGUUCACGAAAUCAAUAUGCACCCCACACUUAUGAAAAAUUGUGGUUCUUGACUAUAAUCUUCGAACUCUCACACGGCUCUCUCUAGCAACAGUCGGACCUAGCUGCUGAACUUACUGCCAGCUUUCUAAGGGCGAAAAUUCUACAGAAAUCUAAACAACCAAAGAGCAUCAACAUGGAAAACAAAAGUAAAACAUCCUAAAUUAAAGUUAAAUUACAUACCAAAUAAAAUAAAUAAAAAUAACUAAAAAUAACACAAAAAACACAAAAAUAAAAAUAAAAAUAAAAAUAAAAAGGAUAACUAAAUCACUCAUCAUCUCCAUCAUCAUGCUGCUGUGUCCCAGAAGUACCGGCCCCAUCAUGUCGUGGCUGGAAUGGUGGUGGGUAGGGAACCGAGUACUGAAACCCCUGGUGGGCAAAGAAUGCGGUCAACGCAUCCCCAUACCACUGUUGUUGCCUGUCCACAUGUGCAACAUACUCAUUAAGGUUCUGGACCCUCAUGUCAAGACGGUCAAUGCCCUGAGCUAGGUAGCGCAUAUCAAUAUCCGGCUCAGGUCCCUGCUGCGCUCCCCGAGGAGCAGGUCUACGCCGCUGGACCCGUCUCGGCUGUGGCUCGGCGGCACCCUCCUCAUCCGCCACAUCAUCUGCUCGUACUCGCAAGACACCAUCUCCGCCCUGCUCCAAUACACGCAUCGACUCCAACAGUUGAAGGCUCAUCGGCCUCAUAUCGUGGAACACCAUCAAUCUCGUGAUCUCACGCGUCAGCAACUGAUAUGAUCGAGCUAAAUGCGUGAUAAAAUGCCCUCCGUAAAUCGAGCUAUCCUCCCGAAGUCCCAUGGCCCUCCGUCCCAAAUAUGCAGCUAAAGCAACGGGAAGGUUCAGGUGCCUCCCUGGAGUAACAAGUGCCCAUAGGAAAUACAAGUCUGUCGAAGGCACUCUCUCACUGUUCUUGUGAUGCGUGAGAGUCAUGGAAAUUGCACCGUUGUGUAGCAAUCUGUAAGUAGUAGACCGUAUCAUCCUACCCCGUGCAGUAGAUGUCAUAUAAACUCCUCCCGUAAUCUCGGCCCAAAAAGUGAUCUCGUUAUAGUCAUCUGGCCGCUCCGUAAGACAAUCAGCAAGGAAUGUCGGGAAGUGGACACUCCUCGUCUCAUCUGCUGUUUAUAUACCCACUCGAGUUGCAAGCUCUAUGACACUGCAUUCCCGGCUCACUCCCCCCAGUCUGAAGGCAAAAUUUGUCCUGUCAUCGGGUGCCUUCCUAGGAUCAUAGGAAACUGUAGCGUAAAACUCCAGCAAAAAUUCCCGAUAAACAGGCUCUUGGAUCCUGAAAAAUCGUGCCCAUCCCUGACACACAAACAAAUCCACACCACUCGCGUCCGAGUGCAUGUAUUGCAAAAAUUCCUGGAUUAGUGCAGCAAGUCCAGUCUGGGUCGCCAAGUCCCAGUCAAAUGAGGGUGCUAUGUCGAUCUCCUUGGUGAGCAGCACACUCAAACUGUUGACAUAUCGUGCCCGGGUUGCAUCGUUCAGCGUUUGCGGAAAUUGUAAGAAACGGUGAUCGGUCACAUCCUCGGGUGGGUUGGUCCUUUGAGUUCUUCGGGCCAUAAUCUGCACAAAUAAACACAAAACCAAACAAAAUAUAGCAACAUUACAAAAAAAAAUUAAACCAAAAAAAAUGGUUCUGGGUAUGGUCUAUACGCUAAGCGUACAUCCAGCGUACACUGGGCGUACGUCCAAGUUCACGAGUUUGUGUUUUGGUUCCUUUGCUUGUGCUAAAGUCAUAACCCAACUGUAAGCAAUAAACACAGCAGGGCAAACACAUGGCAUAUCGAAAUUUUGAGCUUGCGUGGUCCAAAGGCAGUAGAAAAAUCGGGAACUCCUUUAAAAAUCAAUCCCCUGUAAUCUCCUUGUCUAUUCCAAAUUAGCAAACCCUUAAUAGGGAAUCUUUACAGGGCAGUCAAUAAUCAAAGUUUACAGGGCGUACGCUUGGCGUCCGUCCCCGAACUUUAAUCGAUGGGUGUGGGAUGGGAUUAAGACCAAAUUAGGUCCUAGGGUUUAGUCCAUUAGUCCGAAUCAGUUUAUUUAAGCCAUAAUCAAACACAAAUUUGUGAAAUCAGCCCCUAAUUCGAGAAAUAUAUGAACCCUAGAUUUCGAGCAAAGGCAUUUUGCAGCUUAUUUCAUCAAAUUAAACACAAAUCUAAAACAUUGAGUAACCGAAAAACUUACUUGUGUGCUGAAUUUUACAAGAAACGAAGAAGAAUCAAAAAUCUUUGGGAGGGUUUUGUUCGUCACAUGCAGCGAAACAAAAGAGACUUUGAAAAAGUAACAAAAAGUAAAAGGGUAAACAGAUAAAACCUGCUCAUCGAUUUACGCUGGGCGUAACGCGAAGUUACGCUGGGUGUAACCCCAACUUCGUUGAAAGUCCAUCCGCGAUCAAUGGCUGAAUUACGCUUGGCGUACAUUAAAUGCACGCUCGGCGUAAUUUAAAUGAAAUAUUUCCUUUUUCUUUUAAUUAAACUUUCUUUUCUUUUCUUUUAACUAUUUAAUUAAGGGACUUUAAAACUUAAUUUUUUUAUUCUUAAUUGCUUCAGCAACUGAUGACUUCCCGAUGAGUGAAAAAAAAUGAGACGUCAUAACCACUUGUCUUUGUCGAGAUCAAACAACAACGGUUGAUCAAAAACCUUUGCAUGCAAGAAUUGGUUUGCAAAAACACCCACUUUCGGGACCCGUUAGAAUAUAUCCUUUGUUUUCUUUGCACCUUUAACUAAAAGCGGAACAAGAAGUGACCUAACUAGUCAAGAACAGCAAGAGCUCGGUCUUCCACUUAACCACCACAAUACGCCUUGCUAUACUACGCCUCAUGGAUUGAGUUGGACAAAUAAACAAAGUAGUAGGCUAAGCAGGUCAAGAAUUCCCUAAUCGCUUUCAUCCUCGAAACCCAUGCAAAAAGUAAAGUCAAGCAAUGUGUACAACCCCAAAUUCCUGCAAUUAACAACAAGAACCUUCCUCACAAGUGAAAUGAUAUCAACGAAAAUCAAACUAAAAAUAAAAACUAACUAAAAACAAAUAACGAAUAAUCAAAUAAACUAAAUUAAUGACAAGCUGUUCCCCGGCAACGGCGCCAAAAACUUGAUGUGCACAAAAGUACCCACUAAUUUUAAUAUUUAUAACCUAACAAACUUAGACUAUCUAUACACUUAUAGGCAGUGUACCUAGUCAGAUUACAGUAUAGCUUAGGUAAGUCGGGUGUCGAUCACAGGGAACGGUGGAUUAAUUUAAUAUAUUUGAUUAUAGGUUACAGGUCACACGAAAAUAAUAAAGAAAUAAAUAUCAAACUAACAAUUAAUUAACUACUCUCGAUAAACUAACAGGAAAGCAAAUCUCUUCAGGUACUUUGGUUUAGACAAAUUACACCUUAAAAACAUAGACAAUUGCAUACACAAAUUCAUUUAUUCAUGUUCACCG